rfam:Medicago truncatula strain A17 chromosome 2, whole genome shotgun sequence.
AAAACAGUCUAUAUGUAUUGGAUCGUUGGCAGUUUUGGCACCCAAGGCCACUUUGACUUAGUCUUCGCUGACGUGGCACCCACAUCCUUUAAGUGAGGUGUCACGUGUCGAUCAUUGUGGAUGUCACGUCAGUGAAGACUAAGUCAAAAGUGGAAUUGAAUGUCAAAACUGUCAAAGAUUCAUUACAUAGGGGUUGUUUU